AACGAACGCUGGCGGCAGGCCUAACACAUGCAAGUCGAGCGAGGACUUCGGUCCUAGCGGCGGACGGGUGAGUAACGCGUGGGAACGUGCCCUUUGCCUCCGAAUAGUCCUGUGACACUGGGAGUAAUACCGGAUGAGCCCUUUGGGGGCAAGAUUUAUCGGCGAAGGAUCGGCCCGCGUUGGUUUAGGUAGUUGGUGGGGUAAUGGCCUAUCAAGCCGUCGAUCCAUAGCUGGUUUGAGAGGCAGAUCAGCCACACUGGGACGGAGACACGGCCCAGAAUCCUACGGGAGGCAGGAGAGGGGAAUCUUAGAAAAUGGGGGGAACGCUGAACGAGCCAGGCCGCGAGAGCGAUGAAGGCCGGAGAGAUGUAAAGCUCGUUCAGCUGGGAAGAUAAUGACGGUACCAGCAGAAGAAGCCCCGGCUAACUCCGUG
rnacentral:rRNA from 1 species